rnacentral:rRNA from 1 species
UACGAAGGGGACUAGCGUUGUUCGGAAUCACUGGGCGUAAAGCGCACGUAGGCGGAUGUGUCAGUCAGGGGUGAAAUCCCGGGGCUCAACCUCGGAACUGCCUUUGAUACAGCACGUCUCGAGUUCGGGAGAGGUGAGUGGAAUUCCGAGUGUAGAGGUGAAAUUCGUAGAUAUUCGGAGGAACACCAGAAGCGAAGGCGGCUCACUGGCCCGAUACUGACGCUGAGGCGCGAAAGCGUGGGGAGCAAACAGG